ensembl:lncRNA novel transcript
AGGCCGGCGGCUGCUGCUACCUGGGGCCGUUGCUGCUUGUGCCGUGAGCGACGGCCAGCCAUUGUCCCCGCCGCUCCGUCAGCCGCGCCCGGCCGCGCGCGCACCGGAAGGCGCAUUGGCGUCUUGCGGGCUCCGGGCCGGGUGGGCAGGAUGGCCUCCACAAGCCGCAUGGCGCGCAUGGGGAGCCUCCGUUGAUGCCGCCGCGCCGCCCUCCGAGGCUGCAUCCGCGGAAGCCCGGCUCCCCGAGCGCUCCGGCCCGGCCCGGCGCCCCGGACCUGAGUGCGUCCCCAUGAAGGCGCCCGGGCUGGCCCAGGCGGCCGUGGCAGAGGAGACCCCGGACUGGGCGCCCGAGCUCUGCCCCAGCUCCGAGGCGCGGUCGCCGGAGCCGCCUGCCAACCGCCUUCAAGACUUCGACACGCUGGUCACCGUGGGAAAGCAACUAGAAGCCAUUUGUGUCAAGGUAACGUCUGGAGAAACAAAAGGUCAGGAAUGGCCAACGUCCCUACUGGCCACAGUCCAGCCCCAAUCUGCAAGACAGAGCCAGCCGCCCCGGGGGAAUUCCCGCCUGGUGGGACUCCACGUCACCAGCCCCCAGCUGCUCAGGGUACAGCCCCUCGUGAGAACCGAGCCACAGUCAUGUUUCCUACAUCAGCCUCCUGCUCAGGGGUUUGUACAGAGACCACUGCCAGCCCUCUAGGUGGUCCCUGCAAAGAGAGUCCCAGCCCCCAAGGCUCCAAAUGGACAGGGCACCAUGUUGACCCCUUCGUCGGCCUCCAGUUUGCCGACUGUAACAUGUUUCAUCCAGUUCAGGACGUUUAUUUAUUUCCAACUUGCAUACAAAACAUACUGAGAAACUAAAACCAUCGUUAAAAGUGAAGACACGUUGAGACAGGUAUCUCGACCUGCCAAGUAUAAAGCUAAAGCUGAGUUCAUAAAAAGGGAUGAUUUGGCCGACGGUCAUCUGCCAGAUUCUGAUGAUGAUUCAGAAGUCAGUGUGGAAGAAGAUCAGAGGGAGAGGCAGGCGCUCUUUGACUUAUCAAGCUGCUCCCUGAGGCCCAAAAGCUUCAAGUGUCAGACUUGUAAAAAGUCAUAUAUAGGGAAGUGGGGACUGGCCCAGCAUUUUAAACUUAAUCCAGGCCAUGGCCAGCUGGACCCUGAGAUGGUGCUAUCUGAGAAAGCCAAUGGGAGCACCCUCCGGGGGUGCACAGAGGAAAGGACGCUCAGCCUGACCUUCCCGGGGCUGUCCGUGCCAGCGGCUCCGCGUGAGGGAGGGGCCCGCUCCUGCUUGGUGAGAGAGUCAGCACGCGGUGGCCUGCAGGUAAUGUUUGCAUCUGGGUGUCGUUUUCGGCCAUUCUCACACUGUUAUAAAGAAAUACUUGAGACCAGGUAUUUUAUAAAGAAAAGAGGUUUAGUUGGCUCACAGUUCCACAGGCUGUACGGGAAGCAUGGUGCUGGCAUCUGCUCAGCUUCUGGGGAUGCUUCAGAAUCAGUCACGGUGAAGGCAGAGUGGGAGCAGGCAUGUCACGUGGCCACAGCAGGGACAAGGGGCCGGGGUAGGUGCUGCACACUUUUUUUUUCCUUUUCUUUUUUGGAGACGGAGUCUCGCUCUGUCGCCCAGGCUGGAGUACAGUGGCGCGAUCUCGGCUCACUGCAAGCUCCGCCUCCUGGUUUCACGCCAUUCUCCUGCCUCAGCCUCCCGAGUAGCUGGGACUACAGGCGCCCGCCACCACGCCUGGCAAUUUUUUCUAUUUUUAGUAGAGACGGGGUUUCAUCGUGUUAGCCAGGAUGGUCUCGAUCUCCUGACCUCAUGAUCCACCCACCUCAGCCUUCCAAAGUGCUGGGAUGACAGGCGUGAGCCACCGCGCCCGGCAGGUGCCACACACUUUUAAACAACCAGCUAUCAUGAGAGCAGCACCAAGCGGAUGGUGCUAGAGCAAUGAGAGAUUCAACCAUAUCAGUCCUUAUUCCUGCCUCUGCCUGCCCAUCAUCCUUAAGUUGACCUUUACAAUGUCUGAUGGGGGCUCAGGCGAAGGCUCAGGCAGAACCAGAAUCAUUCUUGUGGAGGAUCUGAGACCCCUCAUGUUGUCUGCACUGCUGCCGAACAGGCUGGAAGAUGCAUGUCUGUGUGUCGGCAUGAUUUAGUGAGCAAAUCUGAUGGGAACGCAGCCGUUUCUUUAGGUUUGGUCAGUAAAACCAAUGGCAGUGCGCUCUUGGCUGACGCUGCCAUUACAGAGGGUGAUGUUGAGAAAGGCAGUCCCUGGGGAUGCUUCUGGUGUGUCAAUAGCCUCUGGCUGCUCAGCGUGUCCUCUCCCUCCUGCCCCUUCUGAAACUCCCGAUAAAGCAGGUGUGAGUCGCUGUAAGUUUGCAUUAUCACAUCAAAAUUUUUUUUCCAACAUAUUUUAUUGUAGUAAAAUAUACAUAGCAUAACAUUUACCAUCUUAGCCAUAUGUAGGUGUGUGGUUCAGGGGCACUAAAUACAUUCACGAUGUUGUACGGCCAUCACCCCCACACAUCUCCAGAACUCUUUUCAUCUUGUACAACUAAAACUCUGAGCUUCAAGUUGGGGUAAGCGGGGCGGGGGUGGGGACUAAAACUGUCCCCAUAAACACCAACUCUCCAUUCCCUUUUUCCCCAACCCUGGCAGCCACUAUUCUACUUUCUGUCUCUAUGAUU